CAAGUUGGAGAGGAAAGGGUUUAUUCAGCUUACACUUCUAUGUUGCUGUUCAUCACCAAAGGAAGCCAGGACUGGAACUCAAGCAGGUCAGGAAGCAGGAGCUGAUGCAGAGGCCAUGGAGGGAUGUUUCNUACUGGCUUGCUUCCUCUGGCUUGCUCAGCUUGCUUUCUUAUAGAACCCAAGCCCAGGGAUGGUACCACCCACAAGGGGCCCUCGACCCUUGAUCACUAAGUGAGAAAAUGCCCAACAUCUGGAUCCCCAACUGAAGCUCCUUUUUCUGUGAUAACUCCAGUCUGUGUCAAGUUGACACACAAAACCAGGCAGUACAGUGAGCCUGAGUGUAGAGGAGUGACUUCCACAACAAGAAUUUAACUACUUCCCCUGGGCAUGCAGUUCAGUUUGUAGACAACUUGUCUAGGAUGCACAAAGCCCUAGGUUCCAUCCCUAGCAUUGCAUAAACAAAGUAUGGUCCCCAGUGACAGCAGCACUUGAGAAGUAAAGACUGACAGAUCAGAAGUUCAAGGUCACUGUUGGCUACCAUAGACAGUCCAACUGGGAGACAUGACAGCCUGUCUAAAAAACAAAACAAAAUACCAACCAACCGACAAGAAACCCAAAGCAACAAACAGCACCGCAAUAACCUGCCUACACAGAGAACAGAAGCAGCAACCGCACUCUGAAAACCAAGGGACGAAAGAAAGCCACACCAACACACACAGUAAGGAGGCCAGGCUUGUCUUGUCUUCUACAAGCUUCGGGUCACUCACGAGCUUCAUUUGGCCUAGUCCUACAGAGGACACACAUGCUCUCUGUCUGAUAAUCUAUAGCCCACCUGUCAAGGUGACCCAUCCAUGUUAGUAAAGUCACCGCUCCCAGUUUAUAGGUGGGCAAACUGAGGCUGAAGAGGAAGUGUAUCUAUUGGAUAUACUGCUAUAAGUUGCUUUGCCUUUGUUUUUUUUGUUGUUCAAAAGUUUAGGUUAUUUUACUGUGUGUGUGUGUGUGUGUGUGGUGCUGGGGAUUGAACCAGGACCCCCUGCAUGACUGGUAAAUACUCUAACAACUGAGCUACCUCCUUAGCCCACAGUUUAAUUUUUAAUAUCUGUAUGCUUUGUACACAUGUUGUUUAAUAUGUUAACAGCAAUGUGAGGUUGCGUGAUCUUUUGCAUUUAAUAUUUAUGUUUUGAAAGGCAAACAGAGGUGGUUGCUAUAGACCAGUGGCUCCAGAGAACAGCCCAACCAGCGGUUUCACACCUGGGAACUUCUACACAAACAAAGUCCAGCGUCCUAAUAGCCUUAUCUAGGUAAUUCAGACAUUGGCUGGGGAUUCUAUUCUCUUUACAAAACUCCCAAGAUAUUGAGGAUGUCUGGGUGACAAGAAAAGAUGACAUUUGGAGACAGGACUCCAGAAAUGUUUUCAUUUCAUGACCUAAAAAGGAGAAUAACAAUCUUCUACCCAGCUACUGAAAAAUCAGGGUUCCCAAGGACAGUUAUGUGCUAACUAAUAAAAGAGCAAUGGCAGUGACUACUGUGCCCCAGGGAAGUUCUUUGAAGUUAGUUAGCUGGAGCCAUGGUUGUCUAACUCCAGCGUCUCUGGUUUGUUUGUAUCGGAGCAAACCUUUGUCUUUAGUUACUACUAAAGGUUGGCAUAGCUUUAAACUCUUCUAUAUUUUCAUUAGGCAGCUGGCAUAUGCUGCUAUCAGUCUCUACCCAACUGUGGACAGUGGAGCCAUUAGGGGGAUGGUUCUAUGUUCUUUAUGUCCUUACCCCCAGAGCUCUAGUUUUCUCUAGUCAGAACACAGCUGUCUCACUGAACUGAACUGAACUGAGAAGAGCAAACUGAGAGGUGGGAGUCAGCAGGUUGCUAGGGCUGUGCUGAGGACAGAGAAUUAAGUGUUCUGGUCCCAGAGGAGGCCUAGGAUGCAAAGAAAGGGAUGCAUCAGGUGCUACCACCAAGAGAGAAAGUUGACAAACCUGUAGUUCUGCCAGCUGGGAGGAGACAAAGGGGAUCACUACCCGGGGAGACCCUGGGAGAGCGAGGCCAGUUCCUCUGGGAAUCAGCCUGGGGAAGGAGAGGCACCGGUUCCUCUGAAUUUUGGAAAAACAAGCACUUUCGGAGACACAGCAAGGGUUUCUCAGGGGGAAGCGAAGCAGGCAAAAGGAAGAGCAAGGGGGCGGGGAGACCAGCUAAUGAAGUUUCUUCCAGCCUUCACUGCUGAAAGCCAGGGAUCUGAAAAUUCACUCCAGGAUCCUGGAGAUUUACACAGGGUUGAGAACUUAAAAAACGAAAACAACAGCAGCAGCAGCAGCAACAACAAAAACUAUUAUCUGCAUGGUUUCCUUUUUAAAUGGGGAGUGGGGUUCAUUUAAUACGCAAAAAGGAAAACAAAAUGAUAGAACGGAUAUAGUCUCUGAAUAAAUCUACUCUGCUUUAUUACUAACUCAUUUUGCUGUCCUUGUUUUUCUCAUUUCGCCAGGAAGGAUGAUUCCUUCCUCCAGGACCAGUGCGUGGGGAGCGCGGCUCCAAGCCGCCCACGCUGGCAGCCGCUUGCCAUCACCGCGGGGUGUGCGCGGAGCCUGACUCCCCCGCUGGAGCCUAGAGCCCCUCCUGCGCCCAGGCACCCCGCUCCGGGCUAAGAUCCCGCAGCCGGGCAGCAGGAACCGACUUCUAGGUGCAAAUCUGCCAGUCUGCUUCGGGACAAACCAGGUCACCCACUGAGGGUCGGCUGGGCACACCGCGGCAGCGCGGGGCCGGCACGGCCUCUCCUGGGUUCUAGCGCCCACCUGCACCGCGAAGUGACAGUCCGAGGAUCUCGGUGCCCACACACCCUCCUCCUAUCGUUCUGUCCCGCAGGUGUUAGGAUGCCCGCGCCUGAGCUCUGACUCUGGAUCUCCGAGGCCAUGGGUACCCCGGGUCCCGGAUGCCUGCGGAUGCGGGUGCGUGAAUCCAUGCUGGUAGCUCUGGGCGCACACGCCCGCAUCUUCUUUGAGCACGCGCGUUAGCGGCGCCCACGCGGGGCCAACCCGAGGUACCGGGAGAAGCUCAUCUUCCCAGCACGCGCCUUACCUAUCGUAGCUCCAGCGG
ensembl:lincRNA